rnacentral:rRNA from 1 species
UACGUAGGGCGCAAGCGUUAUCCGGAAUUAUUGGGCGUAAAGAGCUCGUAGGCGGUUUGUCGCGUCUGCCGUGAAAGUCCGGGGCUCAACUCCGGACUUGCAGUGGGUACGGGCAGACUAGAGUGUGGUAGGGGGAGACUGGAAUUCCUGGUGUAGCGGUGGAAAUGCGCAGAUAUCAGGAGGAACACCGGUGGCGAAGGCGGGUCUCUGGGCAGUAACUGACGCUGAGGAGCGAAAGCGUGGGGAGCGAA